rnacentral:rRNA from 1 species
AUACGUAGGGGGCAAGCGUUAUCCGGAUUUACUGGGUGUAAAGGGAGCGUAGACGGCGAAGCAAGUCUGAAGUGAAAGGACGGGGCCCAACCCCGGAACUGCUUUGGAAACUGUUUGGCUGGAGCGCGGGAGGGGUAAGCGGAAUUCCUAGUGUAGCGGUGAAAUGCGUAGAUAUUAGGAGGGACACCGGUGGCGAAGGCGGCUUACUGGACCGUAACUGACGUUGAGGCUCGAAGGCGUGGGGAGCAAACAGGAUUAGAUACCCUGGUAGUCCACGCGGUAAACGAUGAUCACUAGGUGUCCGUGGGUAUGACCCAUGGGUGCCGCAGCCAACGCAAUAAGUGAUCCACCUGGGGAGUACGUUCGCAAGAAUGAAACUCAAAUGAAUUGACGGGG